UUUUCAUUGAGCCCCAGAAGUAGGAGGCACAAGAGUCCAGGCUACACGGGCUGUUUUCCCAGAGGUAGCAGUGUCUAUGGUGGCUUGUACUGGAUACUGAGCGCCAUUUGAUAAUAUGAAAAUGAUAAGGGUUUUUGUGAUUGCAGCGGUCAGCCAGUCAGAAAGAAAAGUCUUGUAGUUUAGACUGAUUCUUUCCUGACCAAUGAGGAGAGAACAGAGGGAGAGUUUUCCAGUCAUCCACAGAAAUGGGUGGGGCUAAAGUCCAGUCUUCCUGGUGAGGAACCAGAGAGACUUUUUCCCUGUCUGUGAGGAAGACUGACAAGGGGGGGGAGUUUGUGUGUGGGGGGGGGGGGGUGCGGGGGGGAGCACUAGGUUAGUCUGCAAAAAAAAAAAGUUCAAGAAUUUCUGCUAUUUUCAGUAGGAAUUUGGGAGAUGGGUAGGGAAGCAAGUGAAUAUUGGGGAAUGUGAGAUUACUUUCAACUCUGCAAGUGUAUAGGAGCGCUAGACUCCUAGCUGUGCAGGCCCAGUUAUUGACCAGUGUCCCUUGGGCUUAUACUGAAGUCACUGUGCAAUUGUAGCACUGUAGGAGUAUAGGAAGAAUGAUUCUUUUUUUUCUUUUCUUUUCUGUUUUCUUCUUUUCUUGAUGGGGUGAUAGGCAGGUCCUAUAGUUCCUUGUGGCAAGUAUAAUACUGAUUCUGGUAAGGAGCUAGAGCUGAGGUCUUUGUGUCUGGUGGGAGACCUUCAGGAGGAAAAGCUUUCCAUUCAUCCCCAGAUAGAGGGGACACUAGAAUCCUGCCUAUGCAGGUCCUUUGCCCUCGGGAAGCAGUGACUGGUGACUUGGGCUUUCUGAAUGCCCAAGGCCAGCGGGUAAUCUGAAGAUGGUGAAGCUUCCUGUGCCUUCUGGGGGAGGCCAUUCCGAAAGAGAAGUGUGGAAGUUUAGCUUAGUUCUUUCCUGACCAAAGAAGCGGGAGCAGAGAGAGGGGAAUCCUAAAGAAGAAAAACCGUUUUUCCAGUCCUCCACGGAAACGGAUACAGACGGUACCAGCCCCACCUUCUCUAGCAGUCACUUCUAGGAAUCAAGUUGAGAGAGUCCUGUGCAGUUUCUUGGAUUCCAUCUUGUUGCCUGAAAUAAGCUUUUAAGAUCUCUUCAUUCACAU
rnacentral:lncRNA from 1 species